UUGCCUACGGGAGGCAGCAGUGGGGAAUAUUGCACAAUGGGGGAAACCCUGAUGCAGCAACGCCGCGUGAGUGAAGAAGUAUUUCGGUAUGUAAAGCUCUAUCAGCAGGGAAGAGAAUGACGGUACCUGACUAAGAAGCCCCGGCUAACUACGUGCCAGCAGCCGCGGUAAUACGUAGGGGGCAAGCGUUAUCCGGAUUUACUGGGUGUAAAGGGAGCGUAGACGGCAGAGCAAGUCUGAAGUGAAAGCCCG
rnacentral:rRNA from 1 species